CACACACCGCCCGUCACAUGACGAAAGUUGGUUUUACCCGAAACCGCCGCGCCAACCGCAAGGAGGCAAGCGUCUAAGGUAGAGCCGAUGAUUGGCGUG
rnacentral:rRNA from 1 species